rnacentral:rRNA from 1 species
UGGGGAAUAUUGCGCAAUGGGGGGAACCCUGACGCAGCCAUGCCGCGUGAAUGAAGAAGGCCUUCGGGUUGUAAAGUUCUUUCGGUAUUGAGGAAGGUUGAUGUGUUAAUAGCACAUCAAAUUGACGUUAAAUACAGAAGAAGCACCGGCUAACUCCGUGCCAGCAGCCGCGGUAAUACGGAGGGUGCGAGCGUUAAUCGGAAUAACUGGGCGUAAAGGGCACGCAGGCGGUUAUUUAAGUGAGGUGUGAAAGCCCCGGGCUUAACCUGGGAAUUGCAUUUUAGACUGGGUAACUAGAGUACUUUAGGGAGGGGUAGAAUUCCACGUGUAGCGGUGAAAUGCGUAGAGAUGUGGAGGAAUACCGAAGGCGAAGGCAGCCCCUUGGGAAUGUACUGACGCUCAUGUGCGAAAGCGUGGGGAGCAAACAGGAUUAGAUACCCUGGUAGUCCACGCUGUAAACGCUGUCGAUUUGGGGGUUGGGGUUUAACUCUGGCGCCCGUAGCUAACGUGAUAAAUCGACCGCCUGGGGAGUACGGCCGCAAGGUUA